CGUUGCUUCUGACGUUUCCGCGUUGUGGGAGUUUGCAUAUACCGGCCAGAGGAUUCGGCGUAGAAAUUAAUUAUUUACAAUGUGUAAAUGCAAGGACUGAUGAGUUUUUAAAUGUAAGAUUUAAUCCUUUCUACUUUCCGAAAAAAGCGUUUUCAACUUACUAAGCUCGCAGAGCUUUAUAAUCUCGUUUGCAUUAUACCAGUGAUCCCGAAGGUCUUCGAACGCAAUUUAUCAACCCUUAUUCACGAUGAGUAUUAUUAUUUUUUUUUUGUUAUCAAGAUAUUAUUAGCUUAUUGCAAGUACAAUUUUUGAUUCUUCGAUUACAGAUUUUUGAAAUAAGAUGCACUUCAUACAGAAUUGUAGAGUGUUAUACAAAAUUCGAUGACUCCUCCAUCUAUGAACUGCAAUCCAUAAGCAUUCGAAACUCAUGUUUGAGUAACGCUCAUAGCGCGGGGUUUCGAACAUUUAAAAAACUCUGCAAGCUCACGCGGCAACUAGCCGACAUACCAUCGUUGCUGCAGUUCCUCCCUUAGCUCAGUGGAUAUUAAGAUCAUGCAUUAAAAAUAAAAAUCGAAUGUUAAGAAGCCAAAGAACCAAACAGUGGUAUAGAUAUUGUAAAAAUAAAAUAAACGGUUUGUAAGUAGUACGUGUAGCUAUGGUUUUAAUAGCAUAAAACAAAGUACAGAAAUUAACAGUUGAAUCUCGUAAAAGUUAUUUGAAAUACCUUUAGUCGCGAUAAUAGCGACACCCCACAAUAAAUUUCGUACGUUUCACGAAUUUCCUUAUUCAUUUUUUUUAAAUAUAUUCGUUGUAUAGCGUAUUGACCUUUCAUCAGUGAGCCUUAAAUGAAGUACAUUAUAUGAGAACAAGUAUAUACAA